rnacentral:lncRNA from 1 species
UGUUACCAACCGGGAUAAAAGGGGGGUCUUUUAUCCCGGUUGGUGUUUCAAACCGGGAUAAAAGGUCUCUCAGAGUCUUUUUUUCCCACUAGCCUUUGCAACCGGGAUAAAAGGUCCCGGUUGGUGAGCCCCCCACCAGUGACCGAGUUUUAGUCCCGGUUGGUGAACCUUUUAUCUCGGGCCAACUUUAAACCGGGACAAAAGG